GGGGAUGUGACUCAGUGAUAGAGUACUUGUUUAGCAUGCAUGAAGUCCUAGGUUCAAUUCCCACCCCCC
rnacentral:tRNA from 1 species